rnacentral:lncRNA from 1 species
AUGGAUAUAGAUUGUUAGUCGGUGCUGGGUCAACUCCUCAGUGCCUGAUGCAGGUGCACGGUUGUUUCUGGUUGAGAGUAUGCUGUGAGUGAUUGGCUGAUAUUUCUGACCUGUUUGUCUCACCUUUUUAUAAACUUUUUCAAUCUUUUUUAUUUUUCAGGAUGACCAAUAUGGGUCUAGUGCCUGGAGGGACUUUAGGGACUGUGGGUUCUCUUUAAGGAUGAGGGAUAGCCCCUUCAGGACCAGCCAAAAAAGACGACCUGAGGAAGUCAUCUCACCCAGAAAAGGAAUAAUACACGGUGCUGGAUCAACUCCUGAGCUCCUGAUGCAGGCUCCUAUACCGUGUCAGGCCGACCCAUAUGGGUUCUGUGCCCAGGUGGACUAUGGGUACUGGGGGUCCUAUCCACUGAGGGGGUGUACCCCUUGUGGGGUCAGCCAUAGAAGUCCUCCUAUACAGUGUCAGGAAGACCAAUAUGGGUUCAAUGCCCAGGUGGACUAUGGGGACUGGGGGUUGUAUCCACUGAGGAGGUGUACUCCCUUCUGGACCAGCCAAAGAAGACGACCUGAGGAGAGACAACCCGAGGAAAACACCUGGCACUAGGUGAACUCCUCAGUGUCUGAUGCAGUGGACGAUUGUUUCUUUAUUAUUAUAAAAUAUUAUAUAAUAUUACAUAAUAUUAUAUUAUAUUAUAUAUGUCUAAUUUAUAAAUAUCUAUUGUACUUACAUCUCUUGUGUGUGUGUGUGUGUGUGUGUGUGUAUGUGUGUGUGAGUGCUGAGUGUAAAUGUUAAAAAUGGAUUACUAUAUUAUAUUAUAUUAUAUUAUAUUAUAGUGGCGUAAAAAGGUAUCCCCCCCCACACACACAGAUUUCUUUUAUCUAAUAACUUGGUUGUGUCACCUUUGGCAGCAACUACUGGAAUCAAGCUUUACCAAUAACUGACAAUGAGGCUUUUACAUCUCUGUGGAGGAAUUUUGUUCUGCUCUUCUUUACAGAAUUGUUUCAAUUCAGACACACUGGAGGAUUUUCCAGCAAAAGCAUCCCGUUUAAGAUCAUCCACAGCAUCUCAAUCAGACUUUAACUAGGACACUCCAAAACCUUCAUUUUGUUUAAGUUUUUAAGUUUUGGAUCAUUGUCCUGCUGCACCUGAGCUUGAGGUCAUGAACAGAUGGCCGGACAUUCUCCUUCAAGAUUGUUUGAUAAACAGCAGAAUUCCUGGUUCCAUUAAUUACAGCAAGUUGUUCAGGCCCUGAAGCAGCAAAGCAGCCCCAGACCAUCACACUACCACCACCAUGUUUUACAUUCAGUAUGAUGUUCUUUUUCUAAAAUUAUGUGUUAUGUCUUUAUUAUUAUUGAAUCCUUAACACUGACCUUAGCUGAGGCGAGUGAGACCUGCAGUUAUUUAAAUGUUGUUCUGGGUUCUUUGUGACCUCCUGGAUGAGUUGUCCAUGUCCUUUUGGUAUAAUUUCGGUCGGCCAGGCACUCCUGGGAAGGUUCACCAGUGUUCCAUGUUUUCAAAUUAAAUAUGUACGGGGCAACUUUUUCACGUCAAUGUAUAUAUAUUGUAUUUGCAUCUUGUGUGUAUUAUAUUAUCAUAUACUAUA